CUCUUAUCGAGAGCGGCAGAGGGACUGGCCCGAUGAAGCCCGGCAACCUAACUUUAUUUAAGCGUAAAGUGAAGGUGCUAAUUCCAGCAAAAAUGGUGUAUUCCGUUUUGAUAGAUAAGAG
rnacentral:ncRNA from 2 species